rnacentral:lncRNA from 1 species
GCAUAUUCAUUUCUCUGUUUUUAUUCAUCUAUGUAAAUCGUUCAUUAUUCGUAAUUAAAUGUAAUUAAAACCGGAAAAAAUCAGGAUCGGGUGAUUUUGAAACUGCUUUUUUAGUUUUUAUUUAUUUAAAUAUAUGUGAUUGUUUUCAGAAAGACUCGUCUAAUCUGAAUUAUUAGAUCUGAUAUUUGAGGUCUGAACGUUUUUAAACCCCCCCCCCCCCCCCUGCCGGCGGGGUUUUGGUGUAGUAUUUGACUUGUGUGUUAUGACAUUUUUAUUUUUGGUUAAAGUUUAUGAUUUGAUUUCUAUUAAAAAUACCCUUACGAUGUAAAUCUACGAAAAUGAAAUGAAUUUGAAAUGAAUCUAUAUACAGAAGAUAAAGUUCAAAUUUAUAUCCAUUGCAUGUGCGUGUAAUUAGGGCUCCUUAAAUUUCUUUGGCACUCAGGUCGAUUGUUUGAGUGGAUUUACCCAAAUCCUGCUUUGGGCAUCUGAGGACGUGAAAGUGAAAGCUUGAUAAGAAGAGGGAAGUAAUAAAACUUGAUUGUCUUAAGGGAACAUUUGGUUAGAUCACUGUUUGACUUUUUAGCAGCUUUAGAGCUUAUGAGUUUGAAUCCAAAAAUAAUCUCUCUAUUUGUUCUGCUUGUGAGAAUUUAUUCUUCUGCAUUGUCAAAUUUAGAAAAAUUAGGUUUUUGUUCCAAUUGUUGUAAGGAUAUCAGUACACUACCCUGCGAAUUGAAAUAUUAAUCUAGAAAUUUUUAGUUCCCUUUUCUUUGUUUCUGUCCUUUUAAUUACUGCAUAAACCAGUUCUGCAUGAUACUUUUUUUCAUACAAAUUGGAGGGAGCAGUUGCAGGGCAUGAACACUCCCAUUUGUGCAAAUUUUCCAUAAUUAAAAGAAAAAUUUCAACUAAUCUCAUUGAGACAUAAUGAAGAUUUGUGGUUGCUUUUCCGGCUCUUUUGAGAGAAUUUGUUAGAUAUCUGCAGUGAUUUUUUUAUUUUUAUUUUCAGUUUGUACAUUAUAAAGGUCACAAAUAGUUGGAAAUUUGAGGCAGAGAAUCUUGAUUUUUGUUGCAUAUAUCUCCUGUGUCUAAAAUAUAACUUAGCGUGCCAUUGUAUUUUAUCCACCGAUGAUGAUUCAAGUGUACAGGUUGCUUACAUGACUAUGCAUUUCAUGAACAUUUUUUUCUUUUUCUUCUGGAUGGGUAAAUUUAUAAAAUAUUUAGUUCUAAAGUUCGAAAAUGGUGGGCAGAAAUGGCUUUGGGUGGAGGUGGUCCACAGAGAGGAACUGCUGCAGCAGCAGCUGCUAACAUGCGUCGGAGGAGAACAACUGGUGGUGGAGCCACUGGUGGGGCUAGUGGAACCAUGCUCCAGUUCUACACUGAUGAUGCUCCUGGACUCAAGAUUUCUCCCAAUGUUGUGCUUGUUAUGAGCAUUGGAUUCAUAGCUUUUGUUGCUAUUCUCCAUGUCAUGGGUAAGCUCUACUUUGUUCGUAGAGAGGCUUAAGAUAAGAGGUUGAAUGGUUGAUGGCUAAUAAAAAUAUGAAUUGCUUCCUCAAAAUGCUUUUGGUGCGAUUUUUUUUUUUUUUUUUUUUAAAUAGAUUUUUCGAAUGGUCGUGAUGAAUAGAUACCUAGGAUUUGAGUAAUUUAAUGGAAAAUUGUGUAUUUUGGCAGUGUUUAUUCUCAAGUAUCUUGAAUUGUUUACUGAAUCUGGAAGAAGUUUUUGGAUAUCGUCUUCUUCAUUAUUCGUUUCCCUUGCUGUCAAUAAUUUAGCAUAUCAUAUGAUUUGCAUCGUUUCCUAGCUUAAAACUGAAUGAUCAUAUAAUCAAGUUACACAUUUAUUGUGCGAACGUGGAAAUUAAACAAAUCACCUUUUUUCUUUUCAAUUUUCGAUUUUACUACUACUUUUUAUUCA